rnacentral:rRNA from 1 species
GAGUUUGAUCCUGGCUCAGAACGAACGCUGGCGGCGUGCCUAACACAUGCAAGUCGAACGUGAUCCAGAGCUUGCUCUGGUGAAAGUGGCGCACGGGUGAGUAACGCGUGGAUAACCUACCCUGGUAUCAGGGAUAACAUUCCGAAAGGGGCGCUAAUACCGGAUAAGCCCACGGGCUCUUUGGAGCUUGCGGGAAAAGGUGGCCUCUAUUUAUAAGCUACUGUAUCAGGAUGGGUCCGCGUACCAUUAGCUAGUUGGCGGUGUAACGGACCACCAAGGCGAUGAUGGUUAGCUGGUCUGAGAGGAUGAUCAGCCACACUGGAACUGAGACACGGUCCAGACUCCUACGGGAGGCAGCAGUGGGGAAUUUUGCGCAAUGGGGGAAACCCUGACGCAGCAACGCCGCGUGAGUGAUGAAGGCCUUUGGGUCGUAAAGCUCUGUCAGAGGGGAAGAAAUGAUAUAGUGCUAAUACCACUUUAUCUUGACGGUACCCUCAAAGGAAGCACCGGCUAACUCCGUGCCAGCAGCCGCGGUAAUAC